rnacentral:rRNA from 1 species
AUUGAACGCUGGCGGCAUGCCUUACACAUGCAAGUCGAACGGCAGCACGGGUGCUUGCACCUAGUGGCGAGUGGCGCACGGGUGAGUAAUACAUCGGGACAUGUCCUGUAGUGGGGGAUAGCCCGGCGAAAGCCGGAUUAAUACCGCAUACGAUCUACGGAUGACAGCGGGGGACCUUCGGGCCUCGCGCUAUACGGUUGGCCGAUGGCUGAUUAGCUAGUUGGUGGGGUAAAGGCCUACCAAGGCGACGACCAGUAGCUGGUCUGAGAAGACGACCAGCCAAACUGGGACUGAGACACGGCCCAGACUCCUACGGGAGGCAGGAGUGGGGAAUUUUGGACAAUGGGCGAAAGCCUGAUCCAGCAAUGCCGCGUGUGUGAAGAAGGCCUUCGGGUUGUAAAGCACUUUUGUCCGGAAAGAAAUCCUUGGCCCUAAUACGGUCGGGGGAUGACGGUACCGGAAGAAUAAGCACCGGCUAACUACGGG